UCAAGACCAGCCUGGGCAACAUAGCAAGAUCCCAUCUCUAUUUAAAAAAAAAACUAAAAAAGUAGCUGGGCAUGGUGGCGCACACCUACUUGGGAGGCUGAGGUGGGAGGACUGCUUGAGCCUGGGAGGUCAAGGCUGCAGUGAGCCAUGACUGUACCACUGCACUCCAGGCAAAGACUCUGUCUCCAAAACAAAACAAAACAAAAAAGUCUUAAAAGCAGCCAAAGAGAUGCUUCACAUACAGAAAGGAAGUUGAUAGCAGAUUUUGCAUCAGAAACAAUGCAAGCUAUAAGACAGGGUACUGAACGAGAAAAAAAAACAAAAACUUCCAACCUGGAGUUAUUUACCAAUCACAAUCAUCUUUCAAAAACACAAAAACAAAGGUGACCAAGCAUAGGUAAAUUCAUAGACAGAAAGUUUAAUACAGGUUACUAGGGACUGCAAAAGGAGGGAUAGGGAGUUAUUGUUUAAUGGGUACAGUUUCUGAUUGGGAUGGUGAAAAGUUCUGGAAACAGAAGGAUACUGUUAAUAGUUGUACAACACUGUGAAUGUGCUUAUACCACUGAACUGUACACUUAAGAGUGGUCGAACUGGUAAAUUUUCUUAUUUAUAUUUAAUUACAAUAAAAAAAUUUUUAAAGGGUACACUAGUUCUCUAACUACAUUAACAGAUCUCAAGACAUCUGCUGGGCAUGGUGGCUCAUGCCUGUAAUCCUAACACUUUGGGAGAGCAAAGCGGGAGGAUCACUUGGGCUUAGGAGUUUUGAGACCAGCCUGGGCAACAUAGCAAGACUCUGUCUCUACAAAAAAUAAAAUAAAAAAUUUAGGCUGGGCCCAGUGGCUCAGCCCUCUAAUCCCAGCACUUUAGGAGGCCGAGGCGGGCGGAUCACUUGAGGUCAGGAGUUCAAGACCAGCCUGGCCAACAUGGCAAAACCCUGUUUCCACUAAAAGUACAAAAAUUAGCUGGGCAUGGUGGCAGGCGCCUGUAAUCCCAGCUACUCAGGAGGCUGAGGCAAGAGAAUCACUUGAACACGGGAGGCGGAGGUUGCAGUGGGCUAAGAUCAUGCCACUGCACUCCAGCCUGGGCGGCAAGAGCGAGCACUACAGCCUGGGUGACAAGAGCGAGACUCUGUCUCAAAAAGAAAAAAAAGAAAAAAAAUUAGCUGGGCGUGGUGGAGCACUCCUGUAGUUCCAGCUACUCGGGAGGCUGAGGCAGGGGGACUGCUUUAGCCUGAGAGGUAGGCUGCAGUGAGCCAUGAUCACACCACUGCAUUCCAGCCUGGGUGACAAAGAAAGGAUUUGUGUCAGAAAAAAAAAAAAAAAAAAAAACAAAGACAUAACAUCCAGGGAAAAAAGAGACAUUUCAGAAUAUGGGAUAUAUAAUGUCAUUUAUUAAAAAGUACAAAAACACUGUGCUUGAGCCAGGAGUCAUGGUGUGCAUCUGUAGUUUCAGCUAGGAGGACUGCUUGAGCCCAGGAGUUGGAGGCCAACCUGAGCAACACAGUGAGAUCCUGUCUUUCAAAAACAAAAAAACCCACUAUAUUUUGUCAUUUAUAUGUAUGGAAUAGUGACAGAAAGCAGAUCAGUGAUUGCCUAGGGAUGGAGAAGUGAGAGUAAGGAGAAAACAGUGUGGGGAUCAUAAGUGUAUCCCGUGUGAACAGUGGUCUAUGAGGGAGAGGAAGAAGACAGGGCAACUGGAGACGGGAUGCCAAUGAGGAGGACAGACCUUCCCAGAUACUGGAGCAGAUGAUAGCAUCUAAGGUCCCCAAUACCGCCUCAAGACCCCCAUAGCCUCUCUUGCCUCAUAAAUAAAAAACUGUUUCUCCACUCACAAUGCUUCCGACACCAGAUGUGUGAGUUUUCCAGAAGCAAAUCUAUUCUCUGUGGAGACCAAUCGAGCGUCCUACAAUUUAAUUAAAUUCUGACACCACCUGGAGUUAGCACAGACCCCCGUAGGUUUAGGGCUCAGUCCCACAGACUACCCCCAACUUCAGAUGCUAAUUGCAAGUAGUGGAUCCUCAAAUUAGCCACAAAUCAGUCAAAUUAGUCUGACUUGGCUACAAACUGGGCAUUCCCAUGUUGGGACUCAGUAACCAAUACCUCAGGGUCUCUCUGACUUCCCCCAACCACCCACCCCUACAACUGACUUCUCCCAAAGUCAGAAUGACGUUCUCUGAAGUUCCUUUAUCGCCUAAAAUCCAGACCCACCGAGAACAACUGUUUUGCAUUCCCCUCCCAGUAAGACCAAGAAUGUAAUCACACCUGAACAGAUCCUUCCACAAGAUAAUGUACAAGUUAAUCUCCCUUCCCUGAUCCAUUCAUUCUUCCUAGUAAUCCUCACAACAGAAUUCCUCUUCUCCCUUCUCCUAUAACCUGUUUUAUUUAAUUAAUUAAUUUUUUAGGCUAGUCAAGUGAAGCAGUGGGAGUGGAAGGAACAAAGAAAUCUGUAACUGGCUGUGAUCAAUUAGCUGUAAACACCACUGCACCUGGACCAGCCAUAUAACCUGUUUUGCCAGGAUAUUAUACAUGCUUCCGAACCCCAUUGGGGGGUUUUCAAGGAGCAGGUGGUGUUUGGUUACAUGAGUAAGUUCUUUUAGUGGUGACUUCUGAGAUUUUGCUGCACCUAUCACCUGAGCAGUGUACACUGUACCCAAUAUGUAGGCCUUUAUCCCUCACCCCCAACCCACCCUUUCUUUAGGGUACCUUUUAACUAGACU
rnacentral:lncRNA from 1 species